GAUGAACGCUAGCGGCAGGCUUAAUACAUGCAAGUCGUGGGGCAGCAGGACUGUAGCGAUACAGUUGCUGGCGACCGGCAAAUGGGUGCGGAACACGUACGCAACUUACCCUGAACUGGGGGCUAGCCCGGGGAAACCCGGAUUAAUGCUCCGUAAUAUAAUGGCGUGGCAUCAUUUUAUUAUUUAAGCUCCGUCGGUUCGGGAUGGGCGUUGGGCUGCUUAGGUAGUUGGUUGAGGUAACGGCUCACCGAGCCGACGAUCAGUAACGGGUGUGAGAGCACGACCAGUCAGAGGGUCACUGUGACACUGGCCAGACUCCUACGGAGGACAGCAAUAAGGAAUAUUGGGCAGGGGAUGCAACUCUUACCCACCCAAGCCGCAUGGAGGAUGAAGGCCCUCGGGAUUGUAAUCUUCUAUUAUAAGAGACGAAACCUGUGUAUUCUUACGCAGGUGACGGUACCCGAGGAAGAAGCACCGGCUAACUCCGCG
rnacentral:rRNA from 1 species